rnacentral:lncRNA from 1 species
GGUGAGGCCGCCUUGGGUUAGGUCAUGUAGAUGCUCGGAGAUUGAUUGGCUCUGGGCUUUGUGGGUGGAGGGGAUCAUUGGUCAGAAAACCUGGAGGAGGUCUUAAGCUCCGCGUCUGUGUGAGUUCUCAGACUACUUCUGGGAAUGGGCAGUGUGGUUUUCUGGAGGUUGUAGUUUAACACACCACACAGCUAAGGCAGGAGCCACAUUCCUAAACUAAACGUCUGCUCUGCCGUUGGAGCCCUUCCGGCCGCUGUGUUUGGAGAGGCACUGGGGCCCCAGUUGUAGGUCUGCCUGCACGUGGCUUGCACCACUCACUAGCCCUAGAUGUUGGGAACAGCAAAAAGGCAGUCAGCGCCACUGUGGUCCAGAGGACCAUCCUGCCGACCGAGAAGCACAAGUCAGUUGAUGAACAUCACAAAACAUGGUCCUUGACCCUGGGAGCUGUCCACAUGGUGCUGAGAGAAGUCUGAAUGACAGAUUUUCCAUGUUUUUCAAGCAAAGUCACCUUUGCUUGAAAAGUGGUUGUCAGGAUCACUGUACUUGUGUGUGUGUGUGUUGCGUG